rnacentral:piRNA from 1 species
UCCAAAGUGUUCCCCAUUAAUGCCCUGGA